UACAGAGGUCCCAAGCGUUGUUCGGAUUCACUGGGCGUAAAGGGUGCGCAGGUGGGUUGGCAAGUUCGAUGUGAAAGCCCCGGGCUCAACCCGGGAACUGCGUCCGAUACUGGCAGGCUUGAAUCCGGGAGAGGGAUGCGGAAUUCCAGGUGUAGCGGUGAAAUGCGUAGAUAUCUGGAGGAACACCGGUGGCGAAGGCGGCACCCUGGACCGGCAUUGACGCUGAGGCGCGAAAGCCAGGGGAGCAAACGGG
rnacentral:rRNA from 1 species